CCUACGGGGGGCUGCAGUGAGGAAUAUUGGUCAAUGGACGAGAGUCUGAACCAGCCAAGUAGCGUGAAGGAUAACUGCCCUAUGGGUUGUAAACUUCUUUUAUAUGGGAAUAAAAUGUUCCACGUGUGGGAUUUUGUAUGUACCAUAUGAAUAAGGAUCGGCUAACUCCGUGCCAGCAGCCGCGGUAAUACGGAGGAUCCGAGCGUUAUCCGGAUUUAUUGGGUUUAAAGGGAGCGUAGGUGGAUUGUUAAGUCAGUUGUGAAAGUUUGCGGCUCAACCGUAAAAUUGCAGUUGAAACUGGCAGUCUUGAGUACAGUAGAGGUGGGCGGAAUUCGUGGUGUAGCGGUGAAAUGCUUAGAUAUCACGAAGAACUCCGAUUGCGAAGGCAGUUCACUGGACUGCAACUGACACUGAGGCUCGAAAGUGUGGGUAUCAAACAGGAUUAGAUACCCGUGUAGUC
rnacentral:rRNA from 1 species